UCUCCCCACGUUUUUCACGAUCUGAGGACUGGUCCCUUUAAGGCAUCGAAACUCAGUGAACGUUCUACGGCCGGCCUAGCGGCCUUCCCGAGGCGCGCUUACGUCACCUUCCGGGAAGCGGCUGACGUCACCGCGUCCUCGGCGGGUGGGGGCGGAGCCAUGACUCACCCGGCCGGCGGCCCUGGCCCGGCUGCGCAGGGUGUACGUGAGUGCGCGUCGCGCUCGUUUCUAAUUUUAGCUCCGGCGGCCCUGGUGGGGUCCGGCGAGAAAUACCACAUUGGCCUUGGUAAAUUGGAGAUUUUUCAGAUAUAAAUAUGGAAACUGCAAGAAUUUAGGGCAUUAUUCCUUAUUCGGUAUGCAUCUUAACAGUUUAAAAAGGACUAACAGUUUACAAUCCAACAACUGAAUACAUCCAGAGCUCUGUACCAAGAACUAUGUAGAAAAUAAAGGUAAAGGAAGAAAACAUGGUCCGUGUUCUUGAAGACUUUAUAAUCAUGUUGGGAAGAAAUAAUGUACACAUGUGAAACUACUAGAAAAUUUCUUCUGGUAACAUUUAUUUAGAUCUUUCACGAAUGUCACUUCAUUGUUUUCACCAGAGCGUGAGCUCCUCUAUGGCGUCACAGUGGACGAGUGAGUCACCGAAUCCCUGUGGUGAGAGGCACGGGGGAAGGGCCUUCUGCAGAGAUAGGCUAACUCGCCCUGGGCCUGGCUGCCUCCUCAGGCCCACCUGAGGGUGAGUGCUGUCCAAUGAGGGUGAGGGCAGGGGGGAAAGGGAGAAAGCCUCCAGCUGGGGAAAGUGGAUGCCUCGCAGUGGAUUUGUGUAGAUCUCAAAGGGCUCCAGAAUUCACUUUCUGCCUGCCACCGAAUUUCCUAGGGUGCUUCUGAGUCAGGCUCCGGGUCACUCCCUGAGCCCUUUCCAAGGCUUUUGCAUAACCCUCCCAAAACAAGGUCAGCCAAAGAAUAUUUCACAGUUUGGGUGAAUCCUCUUCUCUCUACCUUUGAAUCACAAAAGAGGAAGGUGAUAAAAAUUUAAACUUAAGAGAGAGGAAGAUUUAGCUUAGGUGUUGCAGUUCUGUUGGGAUUGUUUUUUUUCCCUUAAAAACUAUACACUGCCAUGAUCAUGAGGAAAGCUCCAGCCUUAAAAGUUGACUCUUUUGGUCAUAAAUGUGACUGUGUUAGAAGGACUAGUAUGAGAAAAUGUCUGUCGAAGAAUAGCAGGUAAUCUCCUUAGACAGAUGUCACUGAAGGUCACCUGACAAGGCCGACCCUCCCCUGUCUGCUCCUGGGUGCAGCGUGAGGACUUCUUUGAUGUACCCAAACCCACAGGUUAGGAUGGAGCACACACACAGGGCUCAGGAUACUUGGUCUGCAGACGUUGAAAUGCCCGUAGCAUGGACACUGUGAAAACCAGCUCACUUCACUGGUGGUCACUUGUCUAGUCAUCCAUAUUUUGCAAACAGCUAAAGGUCAGGAUGCAAAAGCAGACUGCUGGGCAGCAAAAAUUGGAGUCCAUAGUGUCGUUCACUGUGAAGCUCACCCCCUCUCCAACAGGAGAGCCCAUCUGGCUUUUUCAGGUACUGUUGACUCCUACUUUAAUCGUAAUUCUAACAUGAUAAACGCUUCUAUUUCUCAACCCAAACCACAUUAGAAGGAUAUAAGUUGGAAGGACAGAAGAGCCUCUAGAGCUGAGAUGUUCAGUACUUUGAGGGUUAAUGACCUCUCUGAGAAUCUAAACUGUGAACUCUAGCCCCAGAAAGGUGCUUUCACAUCCAGUGUGUUCUGUGCAGUACCAGGUGGUUCUUAGCCCCUGAGGCUCAACCAUAAAACCCAGAUUAAGAACCCCAGCUGUAGAGACUGGCACACCUGUGAGCUGACCGCUCGGACCUUGGAGAGCAGACACAAUGACUCUAACCCUGCUGCCUGUCCCUCGCCUGAUGGAGCAGACGCCGCCAUCCCUGACAGGUGGUGGUGUUCCUCACAGUGGCCCUGUCAGGGCCCAGGUGUGCUUGACGCACCCACCUAAGCAAGCAGGGGUGCACGUAAAACAUUUGCUGAGCGUGUCUGAUGUGUCAGGCGCUCUUCUAGGGGCUUUAUCUGUUUUAAUUCAUUGAACCCUUGCAACAGCCCUGGAAGUUAUUUCUGUAAAACCCUGGACUUAAACUCUUUUUCUCAAACUCCAUCUCUAGUGGUUAAAUCAUUAGAAAUGUAAUAUUUUUCCAGAAAAAUCACUUACUGAUACUAUUGGACACUUGCUUUGUGUCAAACACUGUGCUAAGUGUGGAUUUUACAUGUGUUAAUUCAUUUAUUUUACAUUUUUAUGGAUAAGGAAAUUGAGGCUCAGAGAGUCUAAGUAAUGUGCCUAAGGUAAUAGGGCUGUAAGUAGUGGAACUGGGAUUUGAUCCAAGUUUCUCCAUUUCUAAACCCUUCGAUAGGAGUUAUUGUGCUCUACUCCUCUCUCCAUUGUGGGGUUAUGGUCUAUAUACUCACAACUACCUAGAACGAUGGAGGUUUGGUUAGCAAAGCUCUGAAAAGAAUGUCUAGGACAAUUCCUUCAACGGAUUUGUCGGGGCCCAGCAUUAAUUUGCCCACUGCUCACCCAUGCUGUAUAAUCUGCCAGUCCAGGACACAGACCCUGGUGGUGUGGGGUAAUACAAAGAGCAAGGAAGACUUCCAGUUAAACAUGGAGGCUUGAUCUCCUGCAUUUAUUUUCUCUCCCUCUAUCAUAGAUUUUUUUUUUGUAAAGAUGGCUGCAACAAUUUUUCUUAUUCUUGCAUACAUACCCCUUUACAGUGCAACUUUGCCACUCUUCCCAUCAAGAAAAAAGGUCUUGAAUCUGGGUUGACUUGCUUUGACUGAUAGAAUUCAGUGGAAGUGAUACUGCAUGACUUCUGAGGCUCGGCCUUAGGAGAUCUUGCAGCUUCUGCCUUGAAUCUUUUGGAACAUUGCCCUGAGAUCAUGUCUUAAGAAAGCUAGUCUAGUUUAUUGGAAGAUGAGGGGCCAGUGGAGGAGAACCGAGGCAUCCCUGUCAACAGGCAGCAGCAGCCACCAGGCUUAUGAACAGUCCAGCUUGUAUUUUCCAGCCCAACCAACUGCUAACUGAAUGCAGCUGCAUGAGCGAGCCCAGGUGAAACCAUCAGAGGACCCACCCAAUUAACCCACAGCAUAAUGAAAAGUAGUAAAUUAUUGUUGUUAUAAGCCACUAAGUUUUGGGGUGAUUUGUUAUAAUGAUCAUGGAUAACUGAUACAGCCCUCCUAAAUUCUACGUCAUUCCCCUCUUUCCCCAAAUAGCCACUAAUAGUGGAAUUCCAAAGGCUUUAAGCCAAAAGGGUGAAGAGAAGAGAGAAUACCAUUGCAGGGGAAAGACUUCCAAACGCUUUCCAGAUGGGCAUGUGGGUAGAGGAGCAGUCUCUGAGUGGAGCUGGGAAAGUCAGAGUCCACAUGUGUACAAGAGAGGAAAAUGAUGAGAAGUGGACCAAGGAGCCCCACAGAGUCUGCGAGGGUUGGGUGCUAAGAGGUACCAGGUACCACAGAAAACAGGAGUGAGGCCCAGGGCUCAGAAAUGCAAGCACCACCCCCUCCUGGUCUCUUUUUCCAUGCAAGAGACCAAAAGCCAUUAUCUGGAGAAGAUGACUUGGAGAUGCUCUGGACUCCAGGACUAGUCACAGCAGAGGGUGACAGUGAGGUAGGAGCUUGAAAACUGGGAGAGUAAUCAAAAACUAAGUAAAUUAUGGCCCCUUAGACUCUCUGCCUGCUCCCAGGACACCAGCAGCUAAGUGUCACUUCCCUUCCAGGCAGACGAUGGAAGAUUCUUCUCUGGAUAGAUUGAAUUCUUCAUCACCCCCAUCCUCUGUUCCUAGGAAAGGAUCUCCACAAAAUGUUACUUGAGGUUUCCCAGUAAAGCAGCCUUCUAGCCAUCUGGUCACCCUACUGUGAAGUCUACUAGACUAUAGGCUUGCCUUGCUCUUUAAUAUGGAGGGUCAUCAGACAUUUGAAAUGAAAGAGAGGUCAAAACAAACAGAAAAGAAGGAAACAACAUACAGCAAGCCGAAAAACCUUAAAAUAACUUUUUAGAAGAACCUAUAAAGUAGUAACCUCAGGAAAAUAUGACAUAAAAAUAGAACUCCGUGAGAAAGGAACAGAAAAGAAAGAGUUCUUGAAAAAUUUAAAUAUGAUAACUAAAGUAAAAAAAAAAAAAAUCUCAACAGAAGGUGCCCAGCACAGUAAGCAAAAAACAAGUUCACCCCAGAAGCACAUCAGUAUCAAAUUUUAGAACACAAAGGAUAAAGAGAACAUCAUGAAAGCCCCAGAAAGAAAAAAAACCCUAACAGACAAAGGAAUGGGAAUUAGAAGGGCAUCAAACUUCUCUCCAGAUACACUGGAUAGAGCGUAAUGGGAAAAUGCCCUCAAAAUUCUGAAGGAAAAUUAUUUCAACCAGGAUUUUAUAUUCAGCCAAAUGAUCAAUCAAAUGUGACGGGAAAGUAAAGACACUUUUAGACAUGCAGGACUCAAAACCUGGGCUCAUCGUGAAAGAGGAAGCCCAUGGCAUCCAGGAACAGGGGCUCUAGCAAAGGAAAGGGCAGAGGGAAGUCUCAGGACCAAGAGCAAGGAGCCAGCCCAGCCUGAGCGGUGGAACCAGCACGGGGAAGGGAAGUUUCCGGGCCAAGGGACACAGGGCAAGGACUGGCAGAUUAUACAGCAUGGGUGAGCAGUGGGCAAAUUAUUGCUAGGCCCCGAUAGAUCCAUUGAAGGAAUUGGGGGAAAUUGUUAUACGUAGAAGAAACUAAGAAGUGGGAAAAGGGUGGGGGAUUAUUUUUGAAAAAAUGCAUGAGGAAAGGUAUUUAGGUGGAUAUUUUGAAAUCUAGAGUAAAAAGCAGAAAAAAAGAAGCUACUGAGUUGGAAGUGGUUGCUUCUGGGGAGCAGGGCACAGGAGUAGAGAGGGUUGAACUAUGGGCCACUGGCUUUCACCAUGCCUUUUAGCCCUAUUUGAUGUUUAACUAUGGGAAUAGGUCACUUUAAUCAAAUAAACAUACAUUUUUAUGCAAAAAUAAAGAGCAUGGGCUCUAGCGUCCAAUUACCUGGGUUCAGAUCUCUCUUACUCUCUUACUGAUGGCAGGGCCUGGCUUGAGCCAGUGGCUCCUUAUCUACCUUGUUUACAAGGUAGAUAAGUUUCCUUAUCUACCUUGUAAAACUGAGGUGAGGGUUAAACAUAAUUUCUGUUAAGGGCCUGGCCCUUUACAGAAUGUAUGAUCAAUAAAUCAUAGCCAUUAUGAUUUUUAAGACUUCUGAGAAAUUCCAUGGUAGAAUGAAAGCAAACUCCACUGCCCCAUGUUUGGGAGGAGCUGAGAAAACCUGGAUAAAUGUCACCUUUGUGUUUGCUAGUAUGUUCUCCAGCUGUUGUAAAGCUGCAGACAUUCUGCGGGCUCCCACCCCACCCCCUCGCGCUCUUGGUCACUAGUGUCAUCACAGUCACCUUCCAGAGUGGCUUAGGAGAAGCUGGGCAUGCGGCAGAGAGUGGCUUUUCACAUAAAGGCCCGGUUCAUUCCCAGGGGCUGCUUGCAGGUUUUCCUUCUGAAGCAGUCGUCCCUCACAGCAAGUUGCCUCCAUGGGAGGGAUCCAAAAGCAGCUCCAGGUAGGGACAUUGGUGCAGGGCAGGCAGAAGGCAGCUCCAGGCUCAGCGGGGGGCGGGGAGCACGUGGGCAUCAGGCAGAAAAGUCCAGUCCCUGACCUGCCAGGGUCCUGGGCUCAGAGCCACCACAGUGAUCUGGUGCCCCACCCAACUAAGGGGGCCUCGAAGGAGGGCCUGGGGCUGCGUUUGCUCACCCCCUGGCCUAAAUAUAUACACAUACUUAUUUAAACAAACAUAUUGAAUGGGGAGAAGUCUGGAGAGAGAGAGGUACCCUAAAAUGUUAACCAGAAUUCUCUCUAAAUGGUGGCAUUUGAAGUGAUUUUCAUUUCUUCUUACUCAUCUGUAUGUUUCAAUUCUGGUAAAAUGAUCAUACAUUCCCUUUGUAGUUUUAAUUAAUAAUAAUGACAAUAAAGAACAAGGUGAUGAAUCCCUGAAAAGGGAAUGGGUACAUGAGGAAGGAAAGUUCUGUGGCCCCUAAAACGCACGAAUGACCUUCAGCCUGAGAGACUUGGUAACAGCAGGGAAAACGCCAGCCCCCUGCCAGCCAGUGUUCCAAGAUUUCAGAGACCCCUGCUUUGGGAGGGGUGCAAAUGGGUGGUGGCGGGGCAGAAUGACAGAAAACAGCUAAAGCCUCAAUAACCCCUAAUGCACGCAAGGUGCUGCUCUACGCUCGAACUCACUUAAUCCUCACAGUGACCUCUUGAGGUAGGGUCACUUGUCAUCCAACCUUAGUUUUUCCUUUUCUCCUUCACAGGUCCAGCCAAAUAGGAGUGACUUGCUGUCUCCCAUACGUGACCCUUAGUUUCCACUUCCUUGGAAUUUUGUCUCCAUGCCUUUGUUCAAGCUCUUUCCUCUUCCUAAACGCUUCCUCUCCUGUUUUCACACGCAUAACGUCUCUGAGAGGGAGAGCAAGGCAGGAUACUAACUCUUUCCUCAAGUAACCUCCGUCCCCUCUGAAUUCUUUUUUUUUUCCCCUCUGAAUUCUUAGAAUUCUCACUUGGCAACACCGUUCUGCCGGCUUCAUAAUUAGUGCUGCAAGUUAUGUUACAGUACAUCAGCCCGGGUGCUCGGAAGAGGCAUACAGAGUGGGGCAAGACGUGGUCCCGGCCCUGAGGGGCUUUCUGCCAGCCUAGGGAGAAGAUGCCAACACAGCCAAGUACCCACAAUAGAGAAAGGCCUUUAGAUUAAGUGCUAGGGAGAGGAAGAGGGUCUGGGUUCUGCAGGGAGGCCUCCCAGAGGAGGUCAAGUGAACCGAAGGGGCCUUGAAAGGUGCCUGGGAUUCCAGCAGGUGGAGAGGGAGAGGAAGGGGCCCCAGCGAGGGAGGCAGGAGGGGUGAUGCUGCGCUGUAGUUUAGGGAGCGUGAACUGGUAAGGGCAGGGUUCCCGCUGGCUCAUCUUUGCCUCCCCAGAACAGUUCCUGGCCACAGGACACGUCUCUCCUGGCCCAUGGUGAGUGUCACAGGGCCAGCCACAGUGAGCAUCAGAGACACCAGGCUGAUGCACUGCCCCGGGAAGAGCCUCCCCCCCAUCUCACCAGGUAGUGCCCAUAGUGUGUAGGCAGAGAAUAUCUAUAAAUGAGUGGUGGGCAGCCCAUGAAAGGACUCCUGGGCCUGCUCCCAACUGUCAGGGCCCUUUGUGAGCUGCAGCAAGGCACUUCUCCUCUCUGGUCCUUUGUUUCCCCAGCUGUCAGGUGAGAUGACCUUGAAGGUACAGGGAAUCCUAUGGCAAGGGGAUGAAGCCCAUCGGCCAUGGAGCCAGGACGCCUGGGCACAAAUCUCCAGCUUCCUGAGUGACAUCAGUUGUGCAUUUUGACAAGAACACCACAGAAGUGAUGCUGUGCCCCUCUCAGUGCAUCGUAUCAGGCCGCACGUGAGGCUGAUAUGUUGUGGUACUCGUUAUGUUGACUGUGAUCACCCGAGUAAGGUGGGGUCUGCCAGGUUUUCCACUGUAAAGGUAGUCUUUUCCCCUUUGCUACUAAUAGGCAUCUUGUAGGGAACUACUUUGAGAUGAUGUAAGCAUCCUGUUUCUCAUCUUAUUUUUACCCACAAAUGUUUGUUUCCGUUGAUGAGUCUUGCUUAAAACAAUCACGACCGUGGGUGUCUGCCAAAUGGUGGUUUUCUAUUUCCUUCACACCUUCUAAUGUUCAUCAACUGAAAUUUUUCUGUAAGAACCCUUUUCCCUUACUUGUUUAUUCAAACAUUUAUAUCAGUAUAGACACAUUAUUUCCUAUUUUUCUCUUGUUCUAUAAGUUAUAAUCUGUUGUGAUCUUUUUUUUUUUUAUUUGCUCAAAUUAUCUCAGAUUUGGCCAUCGGGAGCUCCUUCAAGUUGGCUACUGUGUUCAACAGGAAAGUUUUGAGCAAAAUUUAUGACCAAGUUAUGAUAAUGAGGCAUAGGGACUUGUAAGGAGAAGGGAGAGGAGAGGCUUCCAGGCCUGGAGGGCAACCAUGGGCUCUAUACCCAGUGCUCUCUGAGGAUGCUUGCCAGCCUCUGGGCUGGCUACUCCUGACCAUGAGGGUCAGGAAUAUGCAGCCACGUGCCUUGUUCAGGUAGAGAGACCUCCACUGAAGGUGCCCCACCUCUGUCAUGACCUUCCCAGGGACCAACCAGCAGGCUGCAGCUGCUACGGCACUUGGGCUGUUAAUGCAUCUGCCUGGCUUUGCCCAAGAGGGGCCCUCCGCCAUGUGCACGGACACCUCCACCUCCAGCCACCUGCUGUCUGCUGCUGCCCCGCCAGACCUGCCGUCACCCAGGGGCGUGGGGUCCCCACUGCUCAGUCCCUAGCUGACUGAAGCGUGUUCCUUUGACCUCCUUGCCUGAAGGGGUUGUAUCCGGGGAGGUGGCGAGGCUCUCAGAGCUGUGGAGUGACAAAACCACUUGGCCUGGAGACCAUCUAGGUGAGACGGGCUAUCGUUUUGACUGGCUAGCUGUCGUUUUUUCAAUCCAGGGCCUCUGUGAAGUCUUGAGGGGAUGCCCAAAAGGUAAAGUAGGUUGGAGCGGGCGAAGGGGCAGGGGAGUGGCAGUUGGAUGACCAUCAUUCUGGUCCAGGCCCCUCCCCUGUUGACAGGGAUGGAGCUGAACCCCAAAGGGAAAAUGGCUUAUCUAAGGUCACAGGGACACUUGGUGGCUAGGCAGGACCAGGACUCAGUGCCCAGAAUCCUUGUGUCCUCCUCACCAUUACACAUUCCCAACCUGCUCUGCUUCUUGUUUAUCAAUGGCUGAUGAGGCCGUAGUCUGUGUUUCCUUGUCCGUUUCCCUUGUUCCCACGGCAGGCGGAGAGACGGAGGCCAGUCUUCCAGCCCCUUCUGAGGCAGGGCCUCUAGGCACAUGAGCAGCACUGACCCUUCACCCCCAGGGAAGGGGAGCUGUCCUGGGUCAUUUAGCAAAGCAAGCCUGAACUCACCUUGUAAUCUCUCCUGGCUGGAGGCCCAUGACCUCACCCAGACCCAUCACUAGAAUCUGGCCACCUUUUCUUCCUUCUCUCCCUUCUCUUCCUUCAGUUCAGAAUGGGAAGCCUCCUUUUUUUCCUCUUUUAAAUUUCACAUUAACCUUUAAGAUAGGGUAAGCAUUCACGUGACUCAAAAUUCAAAAUUUACAAAAGUUACGCUGUAAGAAGCCUCCUUUCCAGUCCUGUCCUUUGGACUUCCCCUCCCGGGGCAGUCACUGUGGUUCAUAGGGUUGCUGCGAAUUAAUCCACAGAAAGCACUUAGAACCGUGGCGGGCACAUGUUACACACACAGUGCGUGCUGCAUCACUGUUUUUAUUUUUAAACUCAAUCAUAGCUUUAUCUCCCACACCCAGCACCCAAGUUUCACCUCCUCAGGCUCCCAACACUGUAGCCCUACUAGUUGUGACCAUUUUGAACUCGGCCCAUGCCUGGUGACCUUUCUGCAUCCUGUCCCUGCUACUCCUUCAGGCUGGGCAAGCCCUCCCCACCCUGCCCCCUGCUGAAAUGCCACCUAUUCUCCAAAGCCCAGCUCAGAUGCACCUUCCUUUCAAGGCCUCAGUCUCCUCCUCCUUUGUAUUUCCCCAUCCUUCUCGACUUCUGUGGUUGACUUUCCACAACCUCCUGCAUUCAUGUGAGAAUCAUAUAUGCUUUUGCCAUCCCCCAACUCAGCUGUCAACUCCCUGAGGGCAAGGCCGGGAUCUUUUUCAUCUCUGAGUUCCCUGCAGCACUUAGCAUGGAAACUUCCACGUGGGAAGUGAAUAAAUGCCUUUAAAUUUAACUGCAAAUUUGAACUCAUUGGGGAUGCAGAAUGUGGACAUGUGAAGAAAUACGUACGCUGCCCAAGCAAAUCUGGAUUGGGGUCGAGGGAAGUUGUUGAGACAACCAGACAGCAAACACGUCCCACAGAAGCUUGGCGGGACUUGGACCUGCGGCUCCUGCCCUUCCUCAACCCCAGGAGCCAUCACAGGUCUUCUGGGCUCAGGCCUGAGGCAGAGAGGUUGCUGGUUCAGACUCUCUAGCACCAUCCCGGGACUUACUUCAGAUUCGGGACCUCUCUGGACCAGCCUCGAAGGCUCAGAACCAGGCGUUGCUGAGACUUAUGCUUUUACGUGGCUCUCUCCUCACUUCCCCCCUCUUCAGGGGGGCCAGCGCCAGAGGACCCUGGAUUUCUCUCCUUCCCUCUGCUCUGGCCAUUUGCCUGGAGUCAGAGCUCAGCCUUCCCACCUUCCACUAACCUUGGGUCCAUGGGCAAUCACUUCCCAGACCCAUGGAGGGCCAGGACUGAGGGACUCUGCAGAGACCCCCCCCCACCCCCAUUACUUUAUGGGGAAGGAAACCCAGGCUGGAGGGUUUCUUAAUCCAUUUUUCUCACCCACCAAUUUCCAGCAACCUUCGCCUCUCUGGCCUCAGUUUGCCCAUCUGCCGAGGAGUGGGAAACAAACCCCAUUCUCCCAACCGCAGGAUGAAGACUGGGACCAGCUGGGUUUGUGAAAGGGCCUAUUACGCCAUUGCUCCAGAGGUUCUCAAGCUUGAACAUGCAUCUGAAUGCCCUGGAGGGCUUGAAAACAGAGGGAGGCUCCUCCCUCCCACCCCAGGGUUUCAGUAGGUCUGUGGUGAAGUCAGAGAAUUUGAACAUUUUCAGACGAUGCCGGAUGUGGCUGGUUCAGGGACCACACUUUGAGAAGCACUGCUCUAAAUCUCCGGAACUCACCCAAAAGAGAGGCAGUGUGUGCUGGAGCCUCUCACGCUGGCUCCAGGAAGUUGGUAGCUUGAAAUCAGCCACAGUGGGAGUAUUCACACCUCGGAAAUCAGUAAAUGCUGCAAACCAGUUUUGUUUGUUUUUUUUUGCCAGGGAGCUAGCUGGUAAACAUUUACCGGCACACCGCUGGGUAAGAGGGCAGCCUUUCUCUCCCUCUGUGCCCCAAGACUGGGGUGCCGUGCCUCAGAAACAGGACAGGAAAGCUCAAUCAGAACUCUCUGCGCCUCCAUUUCAUUGUCUGUAAAUUGGAAACACCGAUAGCAUCUACCUCACUGGCCCACAAGAAUUAAGUAAGAAAGUACCCGUGAAUCCCUUAGCAAAGUACUCGGCGUAGAGUAAGUGCUCAAAAAUAUUAGCUCUUGUCAUUAAAAUCCUUUGGAUUAUAGGGAAUCUGUAUUUUGUUCCCACAAGAUUAUAAAGUGCUAUAUAACCGUACUCCUGGGAGGGGUGGAGACCAUGCCAUUCUGAGCUUCACAGCUUUGGGGUGCCUGCUGGUACCUAGUCCUCCUUCUCUGGGGACCCCCCCCCAUUGCACAGUGUGAGCCCCACCCAGCCCCCGUUUGUAAUGUGUGACACCCCUGGCCGUAGCUGCUUACAAUAGAUACUCUGGGGUUCUCAGAGUCUCUUUCCUGGGAACUUGGACCUGGAGCCCAGAGCCAGCCUAUAACUCACCACCUCAAGGUCAGUGGGGCAAGCAGGCUCUGCCAGCAGCCAGAGGGACCAAGGAAGGGCUGCAAAGAGAAGGGGUGGAGCAGGUGGGCAGAGGCAGGCACGGGAGUGAGGUGGAGAAAGAGUCCUGAGGACACCCCCGCCUCUGAAUCUGGGCUCCUCUAGAAGUUCUGCUGCCCUGCCCUGGGCCUGCAUCCUCUCAGCCAAUGUCCACUGUGGCUUAAGUCAUAUCACGUUGGCUUCCGUUAAUUGCAACCUGAGAGUCCCAACUUCUCCACUGACUCUGCUCUUUGCUCACCCCCACCUGCCCCAGCACAGGCUUGGGGCCCGUGCCUGCUCGGCCCUGCCUGCUGUGGGCCUUGGGCAGGACUCAAGGCCUCGCUUCUUCCAUCUGCUGGUUGAAUAUGGACUUGGGCGGAAGCGAGCCUCCUUCUGAAUUUUCCCCGUUAUAUGAAGAGAAAUGAAUAUUCCCGACAUUACCUACUCAGUGUCACCCCUGCUUAAGACCCUGCAGCAGUCCCACCCCACCCCCGCUGCUCUUGGAUUGACUCCAGGCUCCCUUCCUGCACUCUAGACACUGCCUGAGCCUUUCCUGGCCCCUCUCCGACCUCCACUCUCACCUCUUGACUCUGAGGGAUAUGGACCUGCUGGCAGUUCCCCAAGACCGCGUGUUCUCUUUUGGCUUCUCUCUGUGCAGAACAGAAUUUCCCCAAGCCUACAGCCAACUACCAAGCAUUCUUCAGGCUCCCCCUUCGGUGUCACUUCCCCUGGGCCGUCUUCCCUAGCACGGCCCUGGCCGUGCCCCUGUGCCUCGCACCCUGUGCAGUCUCCCAUUGGCGCGGCCUGUACCACACCACAAGGUCCCAAGUGCAGGGGCCAGAUGCAGGCCCCUCUUGUUUCCCCAGGUUCCACAUUGUAAGGACUCAGUGGAUGGUUAAAUAAAUGUUGUGACCUGAGGAAAGGGGGGCUCCAGAAACUCAGGGGCCAUCACCAUUGUCCGUGGUGACCUCCAGAAAAUCAAGUUUCCAGAGGGAAGAAAAGGAGAGGAAGGGGUGAAGGCAGCCCUAAAAUGGGUCAGGUAGAGUGCCUGCUGGGCGAUCAGAUAGAAAGCUCUCCUGGAAGAGAAGGUGCAGAUUGAAGAGAGAGUGACAUUGGCAGGACGGAGGCAGUGUGAGGUGUAGCGGGUAAAAGCACAGAAUCGGGAGGGAAGGUGAGGAGGAGAAAGAGGAACACGAGCCCUGGACAUUGGACUCCCCUUCCUAGACCUCAGGCUGUGCUUGUUCCCUAGAGGCUCGGGCCGCGGUUGCUCAUGGACUUGCUGGUGGCUCAGCCGCACGAUCGACACGUGUGUCUAACCUGAAGGAAGUCCCCUGUAACCUCACCUAAAGGAAGCUGCUUGGAAAGUUACCGCAGAUACAGGGAUUCCCUUGCCCUACUCAGCUCGCUAAAGCCCCUCUCCAAAGCCAGCCCUGCUCGGAGGCCCUGGACAGGGAGUGGUCACGGUGCCCAGUGCCGGGCGGCGCGUCAGAAGGCCCUUGGCUUCCCCCUCACCGGCUCCAGGCUGGCUCCUUUGCGAGGCCAGCCAGAGGGCUGGAUGGCUCACCUCCCUUGGGCACAGGUCCCAUCACAGCAUUGCUCCAGCCAUGGACGUCAUUCCCCAGUUACCGCAAAAUAGGGUUACAGUUUCUCCCAUGGUGUGGAAAUCCCAGGAGCCCUCUCAACCACCUGGGCCGAAUACAGAAGUUGGGCUUCUGGUCCAUUAAAUUCCCAGUCCAGGAAGCCUCCGGUAUGAGGCUUCCUUGUAAUCUGUGAUCUAUUUUCAGGGCUGCCCAAGAAAGACUUCAUUAGUUUAGACAUUAGGACUUUAAUAGAUGAUUCUACUAAAGUUGGGUACACAAAGAAGAAGCUGAGAGAGUUUAGAGAAAGCCUACACUCACCUGCCUUCCCCAGCAACUUAAGAGCUAGUUUUACCCCUAAGAGUUUAUAAUCUAGGUGGGAAAAGAAAAUGAAGGUGCAUUACAUAAAACUGUGGAGAACAAUUAAAUAUUAACCGGUGUGGUGCUCGCUGAUUGCAACAGGACUAUAAUGUGGCUCAGAGAGCCAGUUCUGCGUCAGAGAAUUCACGGAGAAGGGAGACUAGAGCUGGGCCUGCAGCGGGGGGAUUCGGGUCAGUGGAGAAGAGAAGACAGGUGUUCCGGGGAAGGGGACCUGCAUGAGCAAUUGCCUGUAGAGUAUGCGGGACAGGAGGCCUGGAUUAAGCAGAGGUUGUACAUUAAAUGCAGGAAGAUAAGAUUAGCGAGAGGGUGAGAGAGGGGAUGCGUGUUGCAGGAGGUGGAGGCGGGGGCGGUUAUGAAGUGUUUGCACGCCAGCUCGAGGAGCUGGGGCUGAUGGAAAUGGUGGGAGGAGGGCGGGGUGAGGGAGGGGA